GAUGAACGCUGGCGGCGCGCCUAACACAUGCAAGUCGAACGGGAACACCCGUAGCAAUAUGGGUGUUUUAGUGGCGGACGGGUGAGUAACGCGUGAGGAACCUGCCUUUCGGAGGGGAAUAACACAUCGAAAGAUGUGCUAAUACCGCAUAAUGUCAUCGGGACGGCAUCGCCUGAUGACCAAAAGAGCAAUCUGCCGAAAGAUGGCCUCGCGUCCGAUUAGAUAGUUGGUGAGGUAACGGCCCACCAAGUCUGCGAUCGGUAGCCGGACUGAGAGGUUGAACGGCCACAUUGGGACUGAGACACGGCCCAGACUCCUACGGGAGGCAGCAGUGGGGGAUAUUAGUCAAUGGAGGAAACUCUGAACUAGCGACGCCGCGUGAGGGAAGAAGGUCUUCGGAUUGUAAACCUCUGUCUUCGGUGAAGAAAAAAUGACGGUAGCCGAGGAGGAAGCCACGGCUAACUACGUG
rnacentral:rRNA from 1 species